rnacentral:tRNA from 1 species
GUGAGCGUAGCUCAACGGUAGAGUAUCGCAUUGCCGAUGCGAGGAUGCGGGUUCGAUUCCCGCCGUUCACU